GGAGUAUGUUGGGUGAUCGCGGGAGAGAUGCUUCUCUCCUGAGGAAAGUCCGGGCUCCGCAGGGCAGGGAGCCGGGUAACGCCCGGCGGGGGAAACCCCAGGGAAAGUGCCACAGAAACUAUACCGCCUCGAAAGAGGUAAGGGUGCAACGGUGGAGUAAGAGACCACCGGCGAUGAGGUAACUCAAAGCGUCAAGGUAAACCCCUCCCGGAGCAAGACCAAAUAGGGGAGUAAUACGGUUGUCCGCCGCAGACUCCCGGGUGUGUCGCCAAUGAGAAUUUGAAUUCAGCAACAACUGAAAGGAAAAAACGGAACUCAUUCCGGCUUAGGCCUGAAUGUUUUCCGUCAAUCCAUCUCAAAUUCCGACGAGGUAUGUGGAGACACAUAUCCCAGAUAAAUGAUCAUCCUCGACAGAACCCGGCUUACAGACAUACUUCUGUC
rnacentral:RNase_P_RNA from 1 species